rnacentral:rRNA from 1 species
GGACCCGCACAAGCAGUGGAGCAUGUGGUUUAAUUCGACGCAACGCGAAGAACCUUACCAGCGUUUGACAUGGGAAGUACCGGUUACAGAAUGGUAACCUUCAGUUCGGCUGGCUUCCGCACAGGUGCUGCAUGGCUGUCGUCAGCUCGUGUCGUGAGAUGUUGGGUUAAGUCCCGCAACGAGCGCAACCCUUAUCGUUAGUUGCCAUCACGUUUGGGUGGGCACUCUAGGGAAACUGCCGGUGCUAAGCCGGAGGAAGGCGGGGAUGACGUCAAGUCCUCAUGGCCCUUACGGGUAGGGCUACACACGUGCUACAAUGGCAGUGACAAUGGGAUAAUCCCCAAAAGCUGUCUCAGUUCGGAUUGUCGGCUGCAACUCGCCGGCAUG